rnacentral:ribozyme from 1 species
AAGAAGAAGAGGAAGAAGAAGAAGACGGGAAAAAAUAUGAACACUCUGUUUCUGUUUCUGUUUUUUUUUUU